AACUUCAGCGGUACAGUAGGUUGCUAUAAAAGAAAAUGCAAGUUCAUUACAAUUUUUUUUCCCCUCGAACAAACCGGUACAGGAUAAUAGAUAUAAAAAAAUUAUGUAGCUAAUCAUCCAAACAAAGAAACAUAUUUUGGCUUCAAAAGAAAACUUCAAAUAAUGCACCCAUUGUGUAAAGCGCCUGGACCUUGUUAUUUCCAAAAGCAGGUAAGCCACUGACUAACGCACAUUGCGCUUUUCACAUUCCACUGUGCGUGUGACAGCGGCUAACCAGCUUUUCGGGGUAUCACCAAGUCAAGUCCCCCCCCCCCCCCCCGUCAAGUCAAGUCUCGGAGACAGCCGGACCAGAAGCGACGCAGACUGCGCGGUAAUGAUGUUUCAGUCUUCACUUAAAUGGAAAGACCAUACGCGCCCCAUCCGACGCAUACUGUAGCUGACAAGGCCGAAAACUCGGGUCAUGUGGGAAAUAUCGAACCGCGAACCGUACCGUAGUGGCUGGCUCCUGUCGAGGCAUUAUCCGACACAAGACAAUGGGAAAUGCAGCAGACGGCUGUGGAGGGGAAAGGCCAGUGGAGAUUACUACCCCCGAUUAAACUGUAGUCUACUCCAACGAAACCAAAAGUUUAAAAAAGGCGAGUGACUCGUGAUACUGUGCGUUAUAUGAAUAUUCGACAGGGCUACAACGAAGGACACUUUGUCCUAAUCUGAUCAACGAAAAGUAAUCCAUAAUGCCCGGACAAAUUUGGAUUUAUUUCAGAUGUGGUGUCACAAAUGUGCAAUAAACGAAAUUAUGUAAUUGCAUUACAUAACGAACUACUCGUUUUUGGACUUGAAUAAAUUGGCUUAUCUCUA